rnacentral:tRNA from 1 species
GUGGCUGUGGCUCAGAGGUAGAGCGCUUGCCUAGCAUGUAUGAGGCUCAGAGUUUGAUCCUCAGCACCACA